AACGAACGCUGGCGGCGUGUUUAAGACAUGCAAGUCGAACGGGGUGAAGUUGUAGCAAUACCGCUUCAUCCAGUGGCGCACGGGUGCGUAACACGUGAGUUACAUGCCCUGCAGUGGGGAAUAGCCCGCCGAAAGGCGGAUUAAUACCCCAUGGUUCCCGCGAGGGUAAAGGUGGCCGCAAGGCUGCCGCUGCAGGAUUGGCUCGCGGCCUAUCAGCUUGUUGGCGGGGUAACGGCCCACCAAGGCGACGACGGGUACCUGGUCUGAGAGGAUGAUCAGGCACACUGGAACUGAGACACGGUCCAGACACCUACGGGUGGCAGCAGUCGAGAAUAAUUCACAAUGGGCGAAAGCCUGAUGGUGCAACGCCGCGUGGAGGAUGAAGGUCUUCGGAUUGUAAACUCCUGUCAUCGGGGAGUAAGACCUGGGCGUGAAUAGCGCACAGGGUUGAUAGUACCCGAAGAGGAAGGGACGGCUAACUUCGUGCCAGCAGCCGCCGUAACAC
rnacentral:rRNA from 1 species